rnacentral:lncRNA from 1 species
UUUCUCCUUCUUUAUUCUUACUAUAAAAAUGAGAAUUACUAGACCUGUGUUGCCUAAGAACAUACAAAAGCACUCAUAACAUGGAAUAUGUACUUGAAAGAUUAUAAUCUUCUUUAACAGAUAUGUUGGCAUUCAGGUGAAUCGGGCUAUUAAGCUUGAAUUCGUUUCUUAACAACCUUAUCUUUUUCUUAAAUAAUUUCUUGCAUCAAACAGAAGUUAUCAAAU